CUAAAAACUGCCUCACCUUUCGUGCACUGACUAUCUAUCUAGGUUUUAUUAAUCUAAGAUUAUACACAACAAUGGGCAGCACCUCGAUCGGUUACAGCUCAUGAUCUUAUAUGCACAACAUGUUGGACCCAAGCCCAAGAUACAACACAAAUGCAUCUACUUCAAAUCUUAGCAGAAAAUGUGUGCUUUGCAGUAGAACACUAGAGCCUAGAACACGUUCACAUCAGCUCAUGUCCCUGAGAACUAACACUCAAAUCAUAUUAACAUCAGGAACAUAAUUGUGGAACGACUAACUCCAUUAGAGGUUACUGCAAAUGACUACAUCUGUGGGGCUUGUCACUCAUUAUUGCAAAGAGAUACCACACCUACUUCACAAGACUCUCCAGAUAUGCCAACCGGUGCCCUGGUAGGUCACCAACAAGUUUGUGUUGGAUGUGGUUGUUCAUUAUUGCGAACUUGAAGUCAUUGUUUGGAUACAGAGAAUAAUCAAGAUAUAUUAAACAUUGUUCGAAAUUGGAUUCAACCCAGAGAGAUUCGUCCUUCAGAUCUUCUUUGCCAUAGAUACUAUCAGAGAGCACGAAUUACUACAGUUGGUGCUUAUUUAAUGAAGCUGAGGACCGGUGAUUCAGAUGACAGAAUAGCUACAUUACUUGGCAUUUCAAGGAGUACUCUUACAAAAUAUGUAAUGAAAGCACGCAGUAUGAUGGAGGAACAUUUCGUACCAGCACAUUUAGGGUUACAACAUAUUAGUAGAGAGGAAGUAGCCCAAAGAAACCUUUAUGUUCCAGUCUCUUUUCGGGAAGCCAGGAAACGAUUUACCACAAAGAAAGGCUAUUGUCAUCAUGGAUGGUACAUACAUACAUUUAUGUGCAAAAAAGUAGCAAUUAUGCAUACCAAAAAAAAACUUAUUCCCUAUACAAAUAUCGGAAUCUCGUUAAACCAUUUAUGGUACUUUGUUGUGAUGGCGACAUCAUUGAUGUAUUGGGCCCAUAUUUAAUAGAAAAUGUAGAACAUGACCAUUAAUAAAUAAUAAGUACCUACAUACGUAUUUUCAU